AACGAACGUUGGCGGCGUGGAUUAGGCACGCAAGUCGAGCGAGAACCGGUUUCGGCCGGGGACAGCGGCGAACGGCGUAGUAAUGCAUCGGAACGUACCCUCUGGUCGGGGAUAGCUACGGGAAACUGUAGGUAAUACCCGAUGAUCUCUGCGGAGCAAAGGUGAGAUUCCGCCGGAGGAGCGGCUGAUGUGAUAUUAGCUAGUUGGGGGGGUAAUGGCCUACCAAGGCGAUGAUGUCUAGGGGGUGUGAGAGCAUGGCCCCCACGACCGGAACUGAGAUACUGUCCGGACACCUACGGGUGGCUGCAGUCGAGAAUCUUCCGCAAUGGACGAAAGUCUGACGGAGCGACGCCGCGUGCGGGAUGAAGGCCCUUGGGUUGUAAACCGCUGUCAGAGGGGAUGAAAUCUUCGGAGGUACUCCUCCGAAGUUGACAGAGCCUCAAAGGAAGCACGGGCUAAGUACGUGCCAGCAGCCGCAGUAACAC
rnacentral:rRNA from 1 species